GUAUGUGAUCGUCUCUCGCAUAUCAAUAAGCGGAGGAAAAGAAACUAACAAGGAUUCCCCUAGUAACGGCGAGUGAAGCGGGAAGAGCUCAAAUUUGAAAUCUUAAAGGGUUUCCCUUUACGAAUUGUAGUUUAAAGAAGUGUUUUCUGUUGAGGUUUUGGUAAAAGUUCUUUGGAAUAGGACAUCAUAGAGGGUGAGAAUCCCGUAUUUGACCUUUACUUUCAACUUUGUGAUACACUUUCAAAGAGUCGGAUUGUUUGGGAAUACAGUCCAAAAUGGGUGGUAAAUUUCAUCUAAAGCUAAAUAUUGGCGAGAGACCGAUAGCGAACAAGUACCGUGAGGGAAAGAUGAAAAGAACUUUGAAAAGAGAGUUAAACAGUACGUGAAAUUGUCAAAAGGGAAGCGUUUGACACCAGUGUUGUUUUUCUGAAAAUCAAUUAAAGAACUGUUUAUGCUAAGCUGUUUAGACUUUAUCAGCUAACUGUUUAGUUUUGAGCUCUUCUUUAAUGCACUUUUCAGUUAACAAGUCAACAUCAAUUUCUUUUGCUGUAAAAAAGCUUGAGGAAGGUGGCUUGAGAUUCGUCUUAAGUGUUUAUAGCCUCUUGCCUAUGCAGUCGGAGAGAUUGAGGUCUGCAGCGUAGAUCCUUCGGGGCUAAAUGCAUUUGUGCUAAGUUAUAGCAUUUUAUAGACAACUUGUUGACUAUGAUUUGUCUUGCAGCUUACUCGCUUAUGUUAUUUUACCUACGCUUAGGAUGUUGAAGACUCUACAGAGAUA
rnacentral:rRNA from 1 species